GGACUCUAAAUACUAACUGUGCCGCAUUUCCGUCUAAUAACUGCUUAUAUGUUUCAUAUUUGCAGGGGUCCUGAUAUCAGUCACACACAUUGCCUCUGCUUUCUUCUCACUGAUGGGGGGCCUGAUGAUUAAAGUGGUAAAGAUUGGCUUUACUCACGGAUCAUUACGGAACGGAAGCAGAUAAUCAGUGACAAUUCGGAGAAAGAACAAUAACUAGAGAACAAGCGCCAUUCUGUUUGCCUAAGCGGGUAUAACUUAUUCUUCUUCCCACAUUGGAUUUUAAAACUUUUUUGUUAUUACUUUAAUGUCUGAAUUCUGAAACUAACUUUGCCGCAGUUCCGUCUUCCAAAGGGCUUAAUUAAGUUAUUUCUUAACUUUUACUAGAGACCAUUAAACUGUACAUUUCCGGGCUGGAUUUACUUGUGAAAUCGAAAUUGAAAAGAGGCAGGCUUCCGGAAAAGGGAGUGAAAUGUUCAUAUGGUGUGGAUGUGAAUAUAAGAUAAAAGGCUAUACGGAAAUACCAGUUGAGCGCAGUAUAGAAUAAGGAAAAGAGAGAAGAAAACUUCAGUAUUGAGAGCAAGCAUAAAGCAGACUGCGAUACCCGGAAGCUGCUUUCUUUGCAGAUAUGAUGCCGGAGCCCUGAUCGUCUAAGCCGUGGCUCGCCGCUCCCAUGAAGAGGCCUCGCUUGCUGGCCUCUUGCUGGAUUACCUGAAGGAGCUCAGUGAUUACGAGCUGAAGGAGUUUAAAUGGAACCUGAGACACAUGAGGUAUAAAGAGUUAAAAGGACUCGAAGGAAUUGAAUAGAAUGGACAUCGCCGGCUUAAUGAUAAGUUCCUACUGGUAAGACGGUGAUCUCAAAGUCAUGCAUGAAAUCCUGGGGAAGAUGAACCUGAAUGACCUUGCUCUGAGACCGAAUAAAGACCUGCAGAAGAGUAACGAGUAAGGAGGAGAGCAGGAUGAAAGAAUUACCGCUCUGUGGCGUGUUCCAAUACUCUACAAGUCAAUAAAAGCCAAUAAAAUCUCAUUAUCGCACUUUCCUUUUCCAGUGUGGCAGGAAAAGUGUGGAUGAGAAGUACAGAGAUGUCCAAGGACAAAUUGAAAGCAGACUCAAGGAGAAGUUAUAUAGUCAAAUGUAUAUUUGAAGCAUUGUCAAAACAAGGGAAGACCACCUUUCUCAGUGAUAUCUACACAGAGCUGUACGUCACAGAAGCUGGGAAUUGGGGAGUAAAUGAUAAACACGAGAUUCUAGAAUUCUGAAAAAAUUUUUUCGCCCAGAACACACCAUGAAAUGCAGUGAUGUCUUCAAACUGCUCCCCAGUCAGAGGAAACAUAUCAGAACUGUUCUGACCAAAGGUAUCGCAGGUUGACUGGGCAGAAGGAAGAGAAAACCAAGAUAUUGAUUUUGUAUUUACUCUUCCUUUCCGUGACCUAAAUCGGAUGAAGGAGAAGCAGUGUAGCCUCAUUCGGCUCAUUUAUUGGCACUUUCCAGAAAUGGAAGAAGCAGAAAAGAUCACGUGGGGGAAGGUUAUGUUUACCCUUGAUGGCCUGGAUGAAUGGCGUCUUCCCCUUAAUUUCAAAGACGAUGAAACCUGGUCAACUGCAAUGGAUGUGCUGUUAACCAACCUUAUCACAGGUGUUACGUGAACAUACACAUUGGUAUUUUUGUGUCUAUGUACCUCUGUUCUUUUGCCAGGUCACCGGACCCAGCUGGGGGUGCUUGGGACUUUGCUCCGCCUCUUCCUUGUCAAGUGGGAGGGGCUUGGCCUACAAAAGCCUGGUUUUGCUGCUGCUCAGGGUCUGCUUCGCUGCUGCUCUAAUGCUGUUGCUGGUAUUCAGCUCUGCUGUUUUAUGCCGCAUAAUAAGACUGUGACGCUACUGUUGUGAAA